rnacentral:sRNA from 2 species
GAUGCUUUCCGUUAGGUGAGGCUCCUAUACGUACAACGCUGCUGCUCAGAAACAUCGAGAGAUGCCAAUUGAGUCAACUGGAACUGCCCAUCAAGGCUUUUUCUAAUGUAGCUGAGUAACCUCUAGGCGUAUAGUGCUAAAACUAAACGAUUGGGAUGCGAA